UGAAAAGUUAUGAAAAAUAGGGCGUCAUAUUCCCCUGCCCGUCUUUUGAAACAGAAACCACCUCACCAUAACGUACGCCACCUCUAAUUUCAUUUCGUGAAAAUUCCUCUCAUACAACGCCAUCAGAACCUCACCACCACCGGGUCACCACCUAGGGCCGACUAUCUUGCACGACUAUCAACCGCCCGAGUUCCUUUGUGUUACGACAGAGACCUAUUAGGGAUUUAUACUCAUAAAGCGACCUACCGUUUUCUAAUGAGGAAAAUCGGGAUUCAGGGAAGGAAAUCCCCGUCGAGGAACUCAGAAAUUUCUGUUACCGCACUUGAGGGGUAUUGGAUCAUAUUCCUGGGAAAUUUUCAGAAUGGAAAGGAUGUGACUACUCUUUAGGAGGUUUGUUGUGUAGGAUCGUGAAGAUGAAAAGAUUGGAUUUUGGUAAAUAAAUUGUUCUGAUAUAUGGGGAGAACAUCACAUUUCUGGCGCCCCCUUCCCAGUCCUCUCCUCCUCCAUCUGAUGAAUCAAGUCCCACUGCUGAAAUCUCUCCUUUGCCUCCAACAAUGUCCGCAGAGUAUGUCCCCAGGUAACAAAAGCUUCUAUCUUAUAAUUUCUUUUUCUAAUAUCCAGUUUCCUAUUGUUUUAUGCAAUAAACAUUUGAAUCUUGUGGACAUCAUCAUUGGUUAUUGCAUAAUAUGUAGUUCGUAUGGUGGCAACAAAGAAAGUGCAUAACCUCAUUUAACACAUAACUAUGUAUACUCUAUUGUAUUUACCCCUUAAAAUACCCUCCACAUGCUCAUGAUGAGAAAUAGCCCUAGAAAACUUAUCCGGUCUAAUCUUGUCCCAGGACAAGGAAGUAUUAUAUAUAAUCUUACUUUGCUUGUUAGUUCUGGUCAAGUCUUGUUGAAUUCUAAUUUAUAUAUUUUUUCAUUAAAUUGUUUAGAAGGCCUUCUAUAUUUGACUGUCAGGGUAUUGUUACUUCUUCAUAAGUGUAAGAACACAAGCACUCUCUUUCUUUUGCUCAACAAUUGUGUUGUUUCUAGAUGGCCUUAAUUGUUAGAAUGAUAGAAUCAAAUACUCUUUGUUUUGGUUUUUGGCUUCAAGUGCAUACAAUUAUCCAACACUUCUUCUAUUGCUAAAGUUGAUGACUAUAACCAUGAAAGGAAGAAAAUAAACCAAAAUACUUGGAAAUUUAUUAGAAAAUAAGGUGAUUAUUGAUAUAAUAUGUAAUUACUCUGUAUAUAUUCUGUAAAACUCUUUUUGUAAUUAUAUGAAUUUGUUCUAUAACUAGUAUUUGUAGUUUUGCAAAAUAAUUCUUUCAUUCUUUGCAUACUUCUGUUUCUAUCAUGUACUUUGCCUCAAGUGGGUCAUAGGUGCAACAAACGUGAAUUGAGUAUCAUCCUUUCCUUACAAGAAGUAGACGGACUAGAGGAUUAGAUGAGAUAAGAAAGAGGAAACUAUAUUUGAGGAAGGGACAACCAAAGUAUAUCUUAAUUUGGUAAUGGAAAUCAUUAAACCCAAAAAGCCGAAACAAUAAAACUUGAGGGAUUUUAAGAAUAUGUGAUUGUAAUGAUCAAUUCAAGGCGGCACAUAGUUUCCUCUCAUUAAACACUCUAGAAAGAUUGAUAAUUCUGCGAUGAAUACAAUAUUGAAGAUUUUGGUGAUGAAACUAAAGGAUUAUCUAAGUAGGGGGUGUUCAUCAAAGUAACCACUUACUGUCUGAUUGGUUACUCAAGGAUUAUGCAAUAUUGAAUAUUUUGGUGAUGAAACUCAAGGAUUAUGCAAUAUUGAAGAUUUUGGUGAUGAAACUCAAGGAUUAUGAAAUAUUGAAGAUUUUGGUGAUGAAACUUAACGAUUACUCAAGGUUUUUUUUUUUUUUUUUUU